CCUGUGUAAAAGUGGUCACAUAUGUCUCUGCCUGGUUAAAAGCACAGAGGGGCAUCCUUGAUUGAUCCAGUUUGUUUUUACCCCUGUGAGAAGAAGGUUACGUACUGAAGUUUAGAAAUGCAGUCAACUGAUUUAAAAUGUUUGAAGUCACAGACCUCCCCAGCCCCUGAGAGCCACCAUUCUGGUCUCUGUUGUUGAAAGAUUCUACGUAUUUCAAUAAUAUGCUGCUGUUGUUUCACAUCUUCAUUGAGGAUUGGUACUAACAAUAACUUUCAUUCCAUCAAAAAUGGUUUCCAAUGACCAUGACCAUCAUGUAAACAAUAAGGCACAUGGCUUGACCGGCGACCUCCAUGCAGUCCCACAU